GUGCUGUGUGUAGUGCUUCACUUCAAUAAGUGCCAUACAUGUGUCUAAAAAUUUGUUUGGCACUUCUUUGAGUGAAAUAAUGCACAACAGGUAC
ensembl:miRNA